UACGUAGGGUGCGAGCGUUGUCCGGAAUUACUGGGCGUAAAGAGCUCGUAGGUGGUUUGUCGCGUUGUUCGUGAAAACCUGAGGCUUAACCUUGGGCGUGCGGGCGAUACGGGCAGGCUAGAGUUCGGUAGGAGAGUGGAAUUCCUGGUGUAGCGGUGAAAUGCGCAGAUAUCAGGAGGAACACCUAUUGCGAAGGCAGCUCGCUGGGACGUAACUGACGCUGAGACGCGAAAGCGUGGGGAGCAAACAGG
rnacentral:rRNA from 1 species